rnacentral:rRNA from 1 species
AUACGUAGGUUGCGAGCGUUAAUCGGAAUUACUGGGCGUAAAGCGUGCGCAGGUGGUUUUGUAAGUCAGAUGUGAAAUCCCCGGGCUUAACCUGGGAACUGCGUUUGAAACUGCAAGGCUAGAGUGUGGCAGAGGGGGGUGGAAUUCCGCGUGUAGCAGUGAAAUGCGUAGAUAUGUGGAGGAACACCGAUGGCGAAGGCAGCCCCCUGGGUCAACACUGACGCUCAGGCACGAAAGCAUGGGGAGCAAACAGGAUUAGAUACCCCAGUAGUCC